GUAUUAGCAUAAAUCAAUCCAGCGCUCGGGUGAACAGCAACAGCAUCGCCACAUGCUCAAGGCAGCAGGCAGUGGCUUGCUCUGAAACCCUCAUUAGACUGACAUCCUCUAUACAUGAUCACCAUGUUCCAUCAUUGGGCUCAUGUACUGUGUGACAAAGGAUUUUUAACAAUGGGAAUACUGGAACUGAAGUGAGGAGGAAACAGACUAGCUACGGAUACUGAUACGAAUUUUGAUAUAAAUAAUUUGUGUUGCCUCCAAGGACCGACUGUCAGACGCUAAAAAUCACUAACUGAAACAAAGAAACCAUCAGAAAUGGUUGCUUGUAUCAGGUCUGUCAAUUAGAAAUCCAGACAAGUAGAACAUACUGUAUUGUACAUGAACAGACAUGCCAGAGGAUAGAAAGCAAGGGGGUGAUUCUAUGAGGAGUCGGGGAACAUUUUAAAUGAAGGUCAUAUCGGAGGAAAGCAGUGCACCUUGGCUGGGAGCCAAACCUUGGUUGCCAUGGUGAGAGCCCCGUCUAUCCAUAUCCUUCCACUCAGGGGGAUGCAUCAGUGGGAAGUGGGAAGUUGUUGGUGCAAUGAGAAGUUGCAGCAAAAGAGAAUAUACAAACUGUCACGGCGCUAGUUGACAGCACAGCCGCGAACAAACAGCAUGAAAGAACACAAAAGGAGAACGCAGCUGAGCUCCGAGAGACAGGAGGGAAAAAUACUCCGGUACAAUCAAGAKACACUUCUUCAUCAUCAAAGUCUUCCUUAAUAACAGAGUAUGCAGGUACAGUAUCUCCCUAAGUGAAGCAAAAGUCACUGACAAAAGGAAUGACAACAAGAGAAACAACAUGGUUUCAACCUGACGAGACAUAAGGYGAUAAUUUAUUAAACAACAGCUGCUGACCUCUUACGUCUUACAUGGCAAAACGUAUGUUAUCAAAUGUCCUAGACUUUAGUAYCAACAUUUGCAUUGAUGUGACGCUGUUCUAACUAAAAUGUGUAUGUAUAAGGGGAACUGACCRUCAUAAGCCAAAUUGUAUCUUAAAAGGCAUCGUUUCAGACUGAGGGGUGCUGUAACUCUGUUAGUGUUGCUGUUCUUCUGUCUGUCUGUGGCAUGGGCUCGGGGUCAGAGACAAAGCUCAACAGGGUCACGGCGCAGGGAGAGAGAGCAGACUGAGCGAAGUUCCGAUGGAGAGCCSAGGGACGACCGACGAACACACAACCACACCUGACAUCUGGAAUGAGAUGAAGGAGCUGAGAGACAUGGUGGUYGAGCAGAGAGAGAAGCUGAGGAACACGGAGGCCAGAGUGGCAGCAAGUGAGGGCCUUACAGAGGAGCAGAGAAUCACCACGAAAGAAGUAGACGAACUGAAGACAGACAAUACGGCCUUGGAGGUCAGACUGACAGCCAGUGAGAGCCAGGUGGAGGGAACUGAAGAACAAGAAUGCAGCCAAGAAGCUGAACUGUCAGGAGCGGAAGCCAAAGAGACUGCCAGUGAGACAGAGUGCAGCCAGCGAGAGAACAGAACAGCGCAAAUCGGCUCUAACCAGAAUAGAAAGAGGAGUGGGAGGCCCCGGUGCACAACUGAG